UAGACCAAUGAUGAGAAUGUCAUGAAUCAAGGAAUAUGACUAAUCUAAAUCUAUGUACUGGAGCCUCAA
rnacentral:snoRNA from 1 species